CUUUCUUUCUUUAUUUCUUUCUUCAUGAGUGUUUUAAUUUUAUAGAAAGAAGAACAAGGUUAAGAAGUAAUAAAAAUUUAACUGAUACGGACUUCAAAAUUUCAUGCAUUUGUAUAUAUGCUAACACAGCAACGACCAUUUCCUCUAACCUCCUACAUGUUCCUGUGACCACAUGUAGUUAGUUGCAUCAUGCAUAGGUGCACCAUUGCCCAAGGUAGGUAAUUGAUCACUAGACUGCUUUGCAACUCUAGACAGUUGACUCAAAGAAUGUUGCUGCCUUGCCUGCUGAUCUAGUUGCUGAAGUUGUUGCUAUCUCUGGAGCUCCUGUAGUUGCUUGUGCAUGACUUGCUGUUGCCACAAUUGCAUAUCGUUUAAACCCAUCUGGUGGGUCAAUAAAAGCAGCCAACAAAUGUUUUAUUUUCUCCUCUUUAAUUCAAUUAUAUUUGCUGACCAAUUGAAAAGGAGUUUUGAGUCUCAGGGUUCAAGAUUGAAGAAUUCAAGAAUUAAAUUAUCUGUCAUGUUUGGCAGCCUUUAAUCAGAAUCCUCCAAAAUGUGUAUUAAUUAGAUUAUAAUUGUGAUUCAUUGCAGUAGUGCAUUCCAAUGCACCCCGAGUAAGUUUCUUAGCUGACAUGUAAUCUUUAUGUAUUUCACUGUUUAGUGGUUACCCUGAUUGUAUGUAUAUCUUUCAUUUAUGUGUGUGUGUGUGUGUGUACACACGCAUUGACAUGAAAAUUCCUAGAUUUGACAGAGGCAUCAUUGUCAGGUGCAACAAUAUCCAUUUUAGCAGCACUUGCAAUGAUGUUUUUCUUUUGAAUGGUAUGUUUUACUUGUACAUUUUCUUCUUAAGUAAUUAACAGUAUUUAUAGAUCGAUACAUGCUUCAUUCUUCUUGCCUUCAGGCUUCAAUCUAAUGCUUUAUUGAUCACUUUGUUUGUUUAGCCUCACAAGCACCACAUGUAGGAUUUGGGACUGGAUUUUGAACUGUCUGGGGCUGGCUUGUUAGGCCAUUAGUAUUCAAAAUUUUAAUUUGCUCAGCCCAGCUUUUAGAGGAUGGCCUGUUUACACCCUUAACUAUUCAAAUGAAGCAGAUACAGACUCUAUUUCAACAUUGAGACUAGGGAUGGAGUGCAAAAGAUCGUACGUCUUUUCGUUUAUAUUAAUGGGAACCAUGGAAGGCAAUUUGCUUUUCAGUUUCUGAGCAGUGUGUGUUUGUGGUGCUUUAAGCAUUCCUUUUGAUAUGUUUGUGGUGCUUUUCAGUUUCUUUUCCCAUAUUUUCUACUUAUUACUUGAUUAUGUACUUAAGUUACAUGGGUUUGUGUUUGUUUGGAAAAGAAAAGCUCUUUUGAAUAAUUCUAAUGUCAUAAUGUAGUUUGCCAAACUCAAUUUAUGGAUCUGACAGGAUUCAAAUCCAAGCUGCCAAACUCAAUUUAUGGAUCUCAAUGCAGAUGUCUUAUGGGCCACAGAUUUUGGCGAGGUUGUUAUAUUAAACGUAAGGCAUGUUUGGAUGCAAGGCAUGCUCAGUUGAAUUGAACUAAAGGAAACAAAGAAAAAUGGAAAAAAACAA